rnacentral:tRNA from 1 species
UAGCCUAGUGGUAAGGCUUUGGAUCGCCAAUCCGGAGAUGGGCGGGUUCGAUUCCCGU